rnacentral:rRNA from 1 species
UUAGUGGCGGACGGGUGAGUAACGCGUGGAAAACCUGCCGUAUACUGGGGAUAACACUUAGAAAUAGGUGCUAAUACCGCAUAAGCGCACAGCUUCGCAUGAAGCGGUGUGAAAAACUCUGGUGGUAUACGAUGGUUCCGCGUCUGAUUAGCUAGUUGGUGGGGUAAUGGCCUACCAAGGCAACGAUCAGUAGCCGGCCUGAGAGGGUGAACCGGCCGCAUUGGGACUGAGACACGGCCCAAACUCCUACGGAAGGCAGCAG